CCGGCCGCCGCCGCGCGCCGCCACCGCCGACCCCGCCAGCACGCCUACCCCUAUCUCUGGGUCGAGGCGGGUCAACGAGCGUGUGGGGCGGCAGGCGGCUCUCCGGCUCGACCCGAUCGGAUCCGAUCGAGUGAGGCCUGCACAGGGCGACGGCGGAUGGGCUGGACGCACAGAACGACGGUGGCGUCCGGAUCCAGGCGAGCGUCGGCGGCACAAGGCGUCGUGGUUCUCCGGGGCAGCGCCAUGGUUGCUCCGCCGUGCUCCUGGAAGAGAACGAGGAAGGAUGAGGGAGAGCAAGCAUGGAAGAUGCCGAGAACCCAAGCUGCUCCCUCCAGCGUGCCCCCUCCAUGGCUCGUCGUCGCUCUGUGACCACAUCCAGCUCCAGGCAAGCCUUCCGGACAGCAUCUCUCCUCCCUCUCCCUCCAUCUUUAUUUGUCUGCUAGCUUGCUACAAAAUUCUAGAACUAUCUGAUUCCAAAGGCUUCUGUUGAAAAGUAGCAUGAUUUCAAAUGCUUCUGCUGAAAAGUAGUGUCAAUCUUCAGCAGAAGCCUUAGUUAUCCAUGGUCUCUCAUCCUGACUUUUGAAAAGCAGUUCAACAAUGUCUAUUGGGAUGUCAUCUCUCAUGGCAAGUUUCUCUUCUUCGGUAGUUUCCCCUCAAAGGCUGUGCUUACCUGGAGAAACCAGAGGAUAUAAAUGAGGCUGUACAAUUAAUCUCUUAAGUAUUUAGCAGAGAAGCACUAUUGUGCAAACACUAAUAUUGGUUUCCCCUCUCUUCGAUUAUAGUGCCAAAAAAAUAAUGGUGCCGAACAGCACAUACAUAAGUGUGGUGGACACUAUCCUGCGGCAUGAUGCUCCUGCUUCCCUGCUGUUUGCCAUGGAUUUAACAUAUUUGUCUUGUUGGGAAUCCGAGCAGCUGUUGCAGAAGGACGUCAACCUCCUUAAUCCGAUGGCUGAGCUAGAGAAGCACUCACAAGAAGAAGCAUCUCGUGCAGUCCAUCAACUCAUCAUGUACGUGCGCAUCAGAUCAUGUAUGGUCCAGAGGAAAUAUUCCUUUCUCUUUCAAUUGAUUUGUCUCCUGGCCCCUUUUGUCUUUGUUUUAUAUGUCCGUAGGAUGUCAUGUGCCAGAACCGCUUCAACAUGUGAGCAUGAUCCUUUCCAAGCUUUAGUAAUGUGUUGCUAGCGAAACACAAUAACAUUAAUACCAUGUAUUUUGUAUUAUUGACUUGGGGAAUUGAUUUAAAUUGCUAUUGGUGGUUAUAAUAGUUUGCUAUACUUUUAGUAGAUUAUGUUUAUGCAAGUUAGACAUAGAGCGGCUGUUCGAGAAAAUAUGUAGAUUUAGGAAGUAGGAACAAGCCCAUCCUGUACUACUGUUGCGUUUUGCUGAUGUGCUCCUGUCGCAUGUGCUAAUGUUUGGGCUCUUGUCGCAACAUCUAAAUUAUUGUUUGAAAAAAGGGAGGUUUAAUUUAAUGUAAUUGUUUUUUAUUACACAAAAUGGACCACAAUGUCGAAUCAACCAUUGUUAUACACUUUUAGUAGUACGGUGUGGGAUACUUUGUCUUUGUUUUCGGACAAUCAACUCGCAGUCCAGGUUGAAGUGACUAAAAAACGGUCCGUUUCUGAAUUGGGAUCUCCACCCCAUAUCACUAUCCCGACACACAACACAUCUUGUCCUUCUCUGAGUUUUCGCACUGCCAGACCUCCUCUCCGACUUCCGGCCUUUCCGCGAGCUCCGGCCGAUGUUGUACCACGCACGACACCUGGGGCCACCCCCGCGUCGUUGCAGUUUCCAUCUAGGAUGAUUAUAGCUUUCACGAGCUUCGUCAGCCAUUUGCAUGCUAACUAUUCGGUCAAUUGACCCAACGGACCGGAGGGAAUUUUCUGUUUUUUUACUUUGGUUUUCCAUUUAGUACUAAAGUGAUCACGACCACAACCACUGGACAAGGCUAAUCUUAUGAGGAAGGCAUCAAUAGCAAUCUCAUCGAGUGGGUUGUGUCGCUUUGUUUUGACCUGUAUUUCCAGGGCUCCAGCAUGCUAAGCCUAGAAGUCAUGCAACUGGUUAUCCUACCUCCCUUCUUUCAAAGAAAUUGGUUAUCCUACCUCUAUCCAUGGCAAUGUCCAUUUUCUUUUGGUAGUGAUGAUCCGCAUCAUGUUGUGGUUUGUAGUAAAAAAUAUGUACCCUUUGCAACGUUCAUUUCUUAGUGUCAGUUGACUUCUCAACUGUCUUCCAAGUGACUAAUUUUUUAGUAGUUUAUCGCUAACAAAAAAGGAAUUAAAGAGGGACUUGCAUGUUUGUGGGAGAUUAUGGUGGGCAAUGAGAAAAAGCAAAGACCCAGUAAAUGGGUCUGGCAUGCGUGGUGAAACGGAAUUAAAGAGAGAGACUUGCAUGAACGGUUGAUGGGGGAAAAGGAAAGAUCCAUUAAAUAGGUAAAAAAAAAUCCCUGAUAUUGCGACAUGCAUGAUGGGGGCUAACAAAAACAGAAUUAAAUAAUGGUGUGAAUAUACUAAGUAGAACAUUUAGUCAAAAUAUCUUAUUGUCUUUUUUUUCGCGCGUGACUUCUGACCGCUAUAUUUUUGUAUGAGGGUGAUUCUUUAGCUAAUUUGCACAAUAUGUUGUAUCUACCUAUUUUGUGAGUGAUGUGCUAGCGCUUUUGUCGCUUUUCUAACAUAUUCCUGGCAAACUUAUUAGCACAACAUUUCCUUGUUGUAUUGGCAAAUCUAGCCCUGAUGUUAAUUUCGCUUUAUACUAUAUUGUGUAGCGUAGCCUUUCAACAUUUGCAUUUUAUGAGAAUAUUGUGGACACUUGAUUUUUAGUUACAUUAUUUUAGUUUCUAAUAUGUUGACAUAGAGAGAGAAUAAGCCGUAACACGAGUGGGGUGUUGUGUUCAAAUGGAGGAUGUAGAAAUAGAGGACAUAGACAUGUGUGUGUGGGUGGAGCAAAUGGGCAGGGUUUUGGGUCGUUUUAUUAUGUUUUCUCCCGUUACAACACAUGGGCAUAUUUGAGAAGAACUAUUGCUCCACGGAGAAGAAUGUGCGGCGAAUUUUCCUUUGCAAAUAUUUUUUUGAUGAUAAGGAUUUCUUUUCUUCCGUUGCAACGCACGGAUCCUUUUGCUAGCCAAAGAUGGGGGAUCUUUGGACAGCGCUCCUAAUAUUUAUUUUGUUUCUCGUGUAGUAGUGUGGAGGAUUUCAAGGAGUUUCUUGAUGAUGUCAUGUCUGGUGAUGGGCCAUGGGGAGAGGAGG
rnacentral:lncRNA from 1 species